ACGGCAGUGGUCCAGCGGUACAAAGCGCUAAAAGACUGGGGCUUCCCAAGCCUCUAACCCGGGUUCAAAUCCCGGCUGCCGUA
rnacentral:tRNA from 2 species